rnacentral:rRNA from 1 species
UGGGGAAUAUUGACAAUGGGCGAAAGCCUGAUCCAGCCAUGCCGCGUGUGUGAAGAAGGUCUUCGGAUUGUAAAGCACUUUAAGUUGGGAGGAAGGGCAGUAAGUUAAUACCUUGCUGUUUUGACGUUACCGACAGAAUAAGCACCGGCUAACUCUGUGCCAG